rnacentral:rRNA from 1 species
UACGUAGGGGGCGAGCGUUGUCCGGAAUUAUUGGGCGUAAAGAGCGUGUAGGCGGUUCGGUAAGUCUGCCGUGAAAACCUGAGGCUCAACCUCGGGCGUGCGGUGGAUACUGCCGGGCUAGAGGACGGUAGAGGCGAGUGGAAUUCCCGGUGUAGCGGUGAAAUGCGCAGAUAUCGGGGAGGAACACCUAUGGCGAAGGCAGCUCGCUGGGACGUUACUGACGCUGAGGCGCGAAAGCUAGGGGAGCAAACGGG